CCUACGGGACGCAGCAGUGGGGAAUAUUGCGCAAUGGGCGAAAGCCUGACGCAGCGACGCCGCGUGAGGGAUGAAGGUCUUCGGAUCGUAAACCUCUGUCAGCAGGGAAGAACGGUCACUGUGCUAAUCAGCAGUGAAUUGACGGUACCUGACUAAGAAGCCCCGGCUAACUACGUGCCAGCAGCCGCGGUAAUACGUAGGGGGCAAGCGUUAUCCGGAUUUACUGGGUGUAAAGGGGGCGCAGACGGCCAUGGCAAGCCCGGUGUGAAAGGCAGGGGCAUAACCCCUGGACUGCACUGGGAACU
rnacentral:rRNA from 1 species